rnacentral:lncRNA from 1 species
UUACAAAGGGAAUAGAGAGCAUCUUUUGGAAAGCGGUGGAGGUCUCGUUUCAUCAAUCUCAAGACGAUCUGAUUCUCACUCUCUCUCUCUCCGUGAAUGAAUGUUUUUGAAUCGACUUUAUUUUGUUUCAUCUUCGUUAUUAUGAUUAUCAUUAUGUGGUGAUGGUGGGGUACCCUACCCUCUCUGUUUUUCUUUAUUGUAUUUAGUUUUUUUGUGACACUUUUGUUAUUUUCUUUGUUUUAUUCUACUACUAGUAUCUUUGACUCAAAGAAACCUCUGUAGUGGACAUGACAUACCACAGUAUUGUAAGCCAAGUAUUUAUUUGCUUUGAUCAUUGCAGAGUAUCACAUCUCAGAUACAUAUGCCUUUAUCACUUUCUAUCUUUUUCUUACUGUCAAAACUAUAAUUUAUCAACAUAUCAUCAUCUUCUCUUCUUCUUCCUCUCAAGGCUAACCACUAGUUUAAGUAGUACGUUUUAAAUAAGGGGAAAUUACCUUCAUCGAUCUUUAUAAUGCACAACUACAAAUAGUAACAUAUUUGAUGAUUAAAGUUUCACCUCAUACCAUGAAAAAAACUUAAUUUUUUAAAAUAUAAAUAUCAC